rnacentral:rRNA from 1 species
CCUACGGGAGGCAGCAGUGGGGAAUAUUGCACAAUGGGCGCAAGCCUGAUGCAGCGACGCCGCGUGAGGGAUGACGGCCUUCGGGUUGUAAACCUCUUUCAGUAGGGAAGAAGCGUAAGUGACGGUACCUGCAGAAGAAGCGCCGGCUAACUACGUGCCAGCAGCCGCGGUAAUACGUAGGGCGCAAGCGUUAUCCGGAAUUAUUGGGCGUAAAGAGCUCGUAGGCGGUUUGUCGCGUCUGCUGUGAAAGCCGGGGCUCAACUCCGGUUCUGCAGUGGGUACGGGCAGACUAGAGUGCAGUAGGGGAGACUGGAAUUCCUGGUGUAGCGGUGAAAUGCGCAGAUAUCAGGAGGAACACCGAUGGCGAAGGCAGGUCUCUGGGCUGUAACUGACGCUGAGGAGCGAAAGCAUGGGGAGCGAACAGGAUUAGAUACCCUGGUAGUCCAUGCCGUAAACGUUGGGCACUAGGUGUGGGGGACAUUCCACGUUUUCCGCGCCGUAGCUAACGCAUUAAGUGCCCGCCUGGGGAGUACGGCCGCAAGGCUAAAACGUCAAAGGAAUUGACGG